rnacentral:tRNA from 1 species
GCCAGCAUAGUGUAAUGGUCUGAGUGUUGGACUAUGACUCUGGAGACCGGGGUUCAAUUCCCAGCUUGGACA